rnacentral:rRNA from 1 species
GGAGGCGAUCAUACCAGCACUAAAGCACCGGAUCCCAUCAAAACUCCGAAGUUAAGCGUGCUUGGGUGAGAGUAGUACUAGGAUGGGUGACCUCCUGGGAAGUCCUCGUGUUGCAUCCC